CUGCCAUGCCUCUUGUGCAUUGUGACACGAGCAAGGAUUCCUAGAGACAAGAAGGAUGAAGCAGUAAGAUGCAGUUCCUAGCAGCAACAUACCAGAAUGUGUUUGCUGAGUAGCAUAAUGUUAAUAGCUAACAGAUAGUGAGCAUUUCUCUCUUAAAGCACUUUGAAUAUAUUAGCUUAUUUAAUCCUCACUGCAACCCAAGAGAUAAAUACUCAUUAUCUCAUUUUAAGGAUGAGAAAUAAAACAGAAAAUACUUGAAGAACAUGCCUGAGUUCAGUCAGCAAUUAAGCAGCAGGGCUGGAUUUCAACCCGUCCGGGUCAGAAACUUCAAAUGCAAGUGACACAUGGCUCUCGACCUGAGUGUCCCAAACAUGUGAGCUUCUUUUCAGGGAUUCUUGACAAGUAGAACUUGCUCUACCAAUCCAAUAUUUUGCACUACUCAUGGUCCAAGGAAACGCCCAGAUCUUUCUGGAAUAAACCCACUUGGGAUGACUGGAUUGAAUUAAAGCAGUCCAAUGGAUGCCAACUGGCCAGAGUUUGGGCAACUCCAUUACCUCAUCCUCCUUGGUUUGUUGAAGAAACAAAGAUAAUGACCCUUUCCCAAGGCUGGGGCUGGGAGAAGAUAGGACUUCGGAGCUGGGUAAAUACCCUUUGAGAUGCUUUACCGUCUGAAGGCAAGUCUACUCUGUCAGAACCAGGGGAGCAAAGAGGGUCUUUCAGGUCUGGGAGAACUGCUCCAAGGGUUGAGCUUGGCAAUUCUAGUUUGGAUGUUCAUACCCUCUUCCCGGCAGCAGAGAGGGGAGGCACAUUAGGAUGAUUCAGAAUAUGGAAAACUAGGUUCCAGAGCAGAACUAUCAUUCAGCUCCAGCAGCAACAGAGGAACUUUGCAUCCUAUCUGUGGCUUCAUGCAAAUUCCCACAUAGCAACACUGGCUUUGUGAAGAAUUACAUUUCCUGCUGCAGUGAUUAGAUAGACAGGCUCAUUUAAGUCCUAUCAGCCAGAACUUAGCCCUGUGUUUUGCUGGAGGCAACUGACACUUAUGGGUGUUCAUCAACACACUAAAUGUCAAUCGGACAUAGUGACCAAUGGGUGUUCAUCAACACACUAAAUGUCAAUCGGACAUAGUGACAAAGCAGACCUGAAGGUAAGGCCCAGAAAGGAACCAAGGACGAUGCAGAUCCCUGGUAUGAGGAGGCGUGGAGAAAUCCUUUCCUGAGAUGGGAAAAUCCACAGGUAAAUGUUCAGAGCAGUUGUAUUGCUAUAACCUCAACCAAAAUAAAACAAAUGUCCACGAACAAGCACAUAAAGACACAGAGUGGUGUAAAGAGCGGGGCCCUGGAUUAAUCCCUGGGCAGUAGCACAGGGGUGGACCUUUGCCCUCAAGCCACAUCGCCUGUGUUUUAAUCCCAACUGCAGUGGUUAUUUGUGGGAUGACUUCUGGGAAAAGAAAAGCUGAAAAUAAGAUGUGUCAUUGCUCCUGAUGGCAUAAAGUUACCACCGCUGGUUCCCUCCUCCCAGAUUAUUACCAAUUUCUAACAACACCUUGGGUUGGGGAGCUUGCCAGUGGAAGUCAUGCAGAAAUAUUCAGACAGGUCUCUCUUUAUGAGCCAGUGGAGUAGUAGGGAUGAAAACAAGUUCUGGCCUGGGGAUGUCCUGGGAUGAAGAAGAACAGCCAAACCUCUGUGUGGUUUCAGUAGAAUAAAGCACAGUGUGUACAGUGAGUAACCUCAGCAAUCUGGUGCCUGGCACCUAAGACUAAGUAAUUUACCUUCAAGGACCUGCAGGACCAUUAAGAAAAGUCUGGUGGCUCCUCCAUCAACUGAGCCAGAGCUAGAAGGUUCUAGAAGAAACUCACUUGAUCUGGCAUAAAACUGUGAACACAGGCAAGUCCCUGACCUUCUGAGGCUUCCUUUUCUCAUCAGCAGAGUGGAAGCAAUCACCUUCAUUUCCAGAGCAUGUAUGGGGGUUCUAUGAGAAAUGGACAUAAAAUAAUGCAAUCAAAGUCUAAAGUGCACACUGCGAAGGUGUGCUGAUUGUUCUGAACCAGCAUAGGUUAGCGUGAUGGGGUUAGCAUCACGUUAGGUUAACAUUCCCCUUCAAGCGCCUGGUGGAGGAGCUAGGCUAGACACAGUGGAUUUAUUGGAUUUUGCUCAUUUUUACAUUACAGUAGUAAUCCGGCUCAUGGUGAAAAACUCGGGGAGAAGCAUAAUAAAGAAAAUUAAAAUA